rnacentral:lncRNA from 1 species
UGAACUGGGUUUGGCACAGAUCGAAACCCUUGUCCUAUCGAAUCGACAAUCGCGUUCCUACUCGAGCCACUAGUACCUGUGUGAUCGACGACGGUAGCUGCGUUGGGUGAAAACGCCCUCCAAUCGGUCAAGAACUCCUUCGGUAGAACUGGAUUUAGGACGGGUUGAAAGCUUUGCCAUCUUGAAUCCACGGUUGCGAUCCCGAUCGUGCUGGAGUUACCCACAUGAUCGUUGGUGAUAACUUCAUCAGGUGAAGAUGCCCACGGAUCGGUCCAGAACUCCUUGAUGGGUGAAAUCGGGUUUAGAAUGGAUUGAAACCCUUGCCAUCUUGAAUCGACGUUCAUGAUCCCACCGGAGCCGGAAGUACCCGCGUGAUCGGCGAAAGUAGCGGCGUCAGGUGAAGAUGCCAACAGAUCGGUCCAGAACUCCUCGAUGGGUGGAAUCGGGUUUAGAAUGGAUUGAAACCCUUGCCAUCUUGAAUCGACGUUCAUGAUCCCACCGGAGCCGGAAGUACCCGCGUGAUCGGCGAAAGUAGCGGCGUCAGGUGAAGAUGCCAACAGAUCGGUCCAGAACUCCUUGAUGGGUGGAAUCGAGUUUAGAAUGGAUUGAAACCCUUGCCAUCUUGAAUCGACGUUCAN